CUUGCUUCCAAACACUCAACAGGAGAGAAGGCAGAGGUUGCUCCUGAUUUUUUCAGAACUUCCCUCAGUACACAAUCAACUCAUUCUGAGAAUGUAGAAGAACAUUCUUAUGUCUUACUUGAGGGUAACAAUUGGCUGUGGGCAGGGACGAAUGGUUCUUGGUGCAGAAACUUGGUGGGAUCAUCAAAAUGCCCUCUGAUGAAUACCAGAUCAUGCACAUUUGAUCAGCAUUUUUAAAGGUUGCCCUGAACUUACUGGCUGUUGGGGCUUCAAAUAAGCCAUGAUAUCUCACUUCUGGAGAAGAUGAUCUCAAAUCCUUGAAAGACAGGCUGUAAGAAGCCAAUAUAGAAAAUCAAUAUGAAACAAAGACCUGUUCCUCCAUCUCUACUCCAGUGACUCUGACUGAUGUGACCAAGGAAGUGUAAAUGUUUUACAUCAGAGGGAAGUGUCAUCAGCUACCAGAAUUAACUCCAAAAAAAAAAAAAAAAAAAAGAGAAUUAUCUCCACUACCGGUGGAACCAGAUGAUAAGAAGGACCCAUAGCACUUAUUUUGAAGUCUAUCCUGAAGAAAGUGGUAUGAUCUCAAGGGAAUUACACAGAGAGGGAGCUCUGACAUUCUAGAAAAAGAAAGAAAUAUGGAAAUAAAGUCAGGCCAAGAUACGUGGGAAUGUGCUGUUCAGAUUGGAGGCUGGAGGCAAUGUGUCAGGUGAAGGUCCAGAGAGUAUCCUGGUGAUUCUAAUAUGGCUGAUAGGAAUAAGAAGACCAGAAAGAAGAAAUGAAGGCAGCGUGGAGGGAAUGAGCCAACACCAAUGAUGAUGACAAAAGAACAUCAGAGAGUCUGUUCCAGAUUCCCUUGUCGCCAUGUCUUCCACUCGCUCCUGUCAAGCCUUCCUGCACUGGAAAAGUCCACUAUCACAGCACAUCAUAAUGUGGAAUCCACUUGUGCAAUGCUUUAUCCUGAUUUUGUAGAUUAUGUCGAUGUCAGUAUCCUGUAUUCUUCCCUUCCUAAUA